rnacentral:rRNA from 1 species
CAGUAGCCGCGGGAAUACGUAGGGUGCGAGCGUUGUCCGGAUUUAUUGGGCGUAAAGGGCUCGUAGGUGGUUGAUCGCGUCGGAAGUGUAAUCUUGGGGCUUAACCCUGAGCGUGCUUUCGAUACGGGUUGACUUGAGGAAGGUAGGGGAGAAUGGAAUUCCUGGUGGAGCGGUGGAAUGCGCAGAUAUCAGGAGGAACACCAGUGGCGAAGGCGGUUCUCUGGGCCUUUCCUGACGCUGAGGAGCGAAAGCGUGGGGAGCGAACAGGCUUAGAGACCCCCGUAGUCCCUGUCUCUUAUAC